GCGUUGUUCGGAAUUACUGGGCGUAAAGGGCUCGUAGGUGGUCAACUAAGUCGGACGUGAAAUCCCUCGGCUUAACCGGGGAACUGCGUCCGAUACUGGAUGACUUGAGUUCGGGAGAGGGAUGCGGAAUUCCAGGUGUAGCGGUGAAAUGCGUAGAUAUCUGGAGGAACACCGGUGGCGAAGGCGGCAUCCUGGACCGACACUGACGCUGAGGAGCGAAAGCCAGGGGAGCAAACGGG
rnacentral:rRNA from 1 species